UGGGUAACCUGCCUCAAAGAGGGGAAUAGCCUCCCGAAAGGGAGAUUAAUACCGCAUAAUAUGUUUAGGUCGCAUGACUUUAACAUCAAAGGAUUUUCUUUUAGAACUUCCACUUUGAGAUGGACCCGCGGCGCAUUAGCUAGUUGGUGAGGUAACGGCUCACCAAGGCAACGAUGCGUAGCCGACCUGAGAGGGUGAUCGGCCACAUUGGAACUGAGACACGGUCCAGACUCCGUAGGGAG
rnacentral:rRNA from 1 species